GGGCUGAAGAGGGAGGGCUCAGUGGAGGCCUUCUGAAGGGCUGGGGAGAAUUUAAAUAGAAAGUAGGAGCUUGCGCAUGAGGGAUGCUCAAGUGAAAACAUGGAAAUAGGACCAGCAUUCUGCAUGCCAGCAGUUUCUUUCAGCAGGGAAACACUUGUUGUUUACAAACAGAUAGCACAAUUAGUAGUCUCAGCCUCUGAGAAGACAGAAAAAACAGUUAUAGACUGAGAAAGGGGAAACCAAAGGGCACAGAGAACAUAGGCUCAAAGUAUAAAAUGUAUGUGUAUGAGACUAUCCUUCCAUAGCACAGUCUCACAAUGAAUAUACACACUCAAAAAGUUGAGUUUUGUUUUGUUGGGCUUUUUGUUUUGUUUUGUUGUGAGACAGGGUUUCUUCUGUGCAGUCGUCCUGGAACUUGCUUUUUUUGCCAUGCUGGCCUCCAACUCAGAGAUUGGUCUGCUUCUGCCUCCCAAAUGUUGAGAUUCUCCUGAGUACUGGGACUAGAAGCAUGUGCUACUAUCGCCCGGUAAAAAUUUUAAUUUUUAUAGGUACACAUUCCCAGAAAUUUACAAUGACUUGGAUUUAUACAGAUCUGUGCUUGAAAAGUUGACCCACAGAUUAACUAGCCUUGAGACUAGGUAAGCCCUUUGACAUUUUUGAGUUAAUCUCUUUAUACAGAGGGGCUAAUGGUACCUUCCUUAAAGAGUAGUAUGAACAUUCAUGAGUGUGUGUGUGUGUGUGUGUGUGUGUGUGUGUGUGUGUGUGUGUGUGUAAAUAAGCAAUGUAGUCAUUAUUGUUUGAUCAACUAGACUUAUGGACACAGUGUUCUAAGGAUACAAAGGGAGGGCUAGAGACCUGGCUCACUGGUUAAGCGUUUUUGCUAUUCCUGCAGAGGACUCAGAUUUGGUCCUGAGCACCUAUGUCAGAUAGUCCACAACUGCAAAUAACUCCAGUUCCAGGAGAUCCAAUAUCCUCUUCUGGUCUCUGUGACCACCCAAAUGCAUAUCUACUUACUUUUACACAAAUAUACUAUGCACAAAAAAAAUAAAAUAAAAUUCUUUUAACUGAGGCUUGAGAGAUGGCUCUAUAUUUGCUGCUCUUCCAGACAACCUGAAUUUGGUUCCCAGCACCCAUGGAAGACAACUCAUAAUCAGAUUAACUCUAACUCCAGGGGACCUGAUAGCCUCUUCUGACCUAUAUGGGUACCAUAUGCAUGUGUUCUCUCUCUCUCUCUCUCUCUCUCUCUCUCUCUCUCUCUCUCUCUCUCUCUCUCUGUGUGUGUGUGUGUGUGUGUGUCUCACACACAGAUGUGCAUGAGACACAUACAUAAAUUUAUAAAAAUAAUUG
rnacentral:lncRNA from 1 species